AACGGGGGGGGCUAGUGUUAUUCAUCUUAGCUGGGCGUAAAGUGUGCGUAGGCGGUUUUAAAAGUUUAAUUUAGAAUAAUCUAAACGUAAUUUAGAAACUAUUUUUUAUACUUUAAGACUAGAGGUCAAAGGAAGAAAGUUAUACUUCUAAAGGAGAGGUGAAAUUCAGAGAUCUUAGGGGGAUAACCAAAAGGCGAAGGCUACUUUCUAUAAUGAUACUGACGCUGAAGUUACUAAAGCGUGGGGAUCAAACGGG
rnacentral:rRNA from 1 species